UACAGAGACUGCAAGCGUUAUUCGGAUUCACUGGGCGUAAAGGGUGCGUAGGCGGCCGAGUGUGUGAGGUGUGAAAGCCCGGGGCUUAACCCCGGAAUUGCACCUCAAACUACACGGCUAGAGCAUUGGAGAGGGUAGCAGAAUUCAUGGUGUAGCAGUGAAAUGCGUAGAUAUCAUGAGGAAUACCAGAGGCGAAGGCGGCUACCUGGACAAUUGCUGACGCUCAGGCACGAAAGCGUGGGGAGCAAACAGG
rnacentral:rRNA from 1 species